CUUAGGGUGGCAAUGGCAGAUUCAGGAUGCCAGCGCCCUUGAAACUAGCAUAAGGCGUGAGAUGGCCUGGUCUCUGGAGGGUGGGUGUCCUGUCUGCUGUAGCAGUAGCCGAUGAAGCUCUCCAGCCUGCCCGCCCCCAUGGCAGCCACUGCAGCUCGGCUGCCCACAGCUGCAGCCACUGUCCAGCAAGGGUGCACGGCCAGACACCACUGGUCUUGCCUCAUGACUUCCUCUGUCCUUUCCCAGGCCCUGUCCUUGUCAGGCCCCAGAGCCGGAGGUUGAUGGGGUCCCCUGAGUCCUUUCCCAUCCUGUCCCCGUUGGUGUGACAGGCUCCCCACCCGGAGACCAAGGGACAGCCAUUUUGCUGUGCUCUUGGUGUUGAAGCCCUCAGGGUGACCUUUGCACAUACUGUGUGGUGAGUUGGGGGUGACCAAGAGCACGAGGUGAGAAGACACUGUCACGCAGAGCUGUGCUAUCGGAGAGGCUCAGUCCCAGGGCGGGUUCCAGCAAGGCCCAGGAGAAACCCCAGCCGAGAUAGGAAGUGAGGAGUCAGGCUCUUGCUGACCAGGGACAGAGGUUUCUAUGGAGACCAGAGGAACAGGAAGCACAGGCCUGCAGGGAGGGGCAUGGGAGCACGGAGGCAUGGGUGCCCAGCAGGAGAGCCUGUGGCAAAAUAGCUCAGCCACUCUGACAGUCUCCCCAGUCAGACAGGGAAACUGAGGCCCGUGAGGGGCCAACUUGCACACAGUCACAUAGCACUGCUGGCCCUGCCCACCCUACUCUGCUGGGAGGAACGGCACCAUCGGCCACUGAGGAGACUCCUGGACAGAUGUGGACCUGGGUUGCCUGGCAGUGUGUGGAGCCGGGCACCACAGGACCAUAUGUCAGCUGCCCUUGUCUCUCGAGGGGGUCCUGGUCCCUGUUGUCAGCGCAGGUCUGGGGCCGCAAGCUGGGCCCAGCCCUCACCGCCGCCCACGGUUGCAGCGGCACCUCCCCCCACUGACUGUGGCCUUUUGUUUUCUGGGUGACACUAGCAUCAGGCGGUGUGUCCGGGUGACUAAUCUCCUCCAGGCUGGGCAGCUGUCACAGGGCGGCCUGACCAGGCAGGCGGGGAAAGCUGACACCCUGGGGAGGGCUGGUAGGUCAGUGCCCUGACGGCAGGGGGCAGUUGGGCCUUCAGGCUCCUCUUCCCCGACACAAAGUAGGUCCCAGGUCGGGAAGACCUGGGUUCAGGUCCCGACUCUGCCGCUGACUGGCCAUGGGACCGUGGCAUGUUAUUGGCCCUCUUGAAGCCUCAGUUUCUCCGUGUCUAGAAUGGAGCUGUGGGUCCUGCCUACCUCACAGGGCUGUGGUGAGGAUCACAUGAGAUGAUAAAGUACUUAGCCCAGGGCCUGUCACAUAGCAGGCGUUCGUUAUUAUUCCCUACCUGGUUCCCUGUCCUACCCCAUCCCAGCCUCAUGUUCCAGAGGAAGGACCCUGCAACCCACCCCAUUUCUGGGGCGCAGGCUUUGCCAUUAGGUAGACUUGGGCUGCAGCACUGGCUCCACACUGACUGGCCGGGGACCCUAGACAGGCCACCUCUGCGUCAACUUCCUCAUCAGCAACAGUGUGAUGCAGUGCCUGUUCAUUGGGGUUACGGUUGAUGAAAUGAUCUGUGUUUGCCAGGGGCUUAGCACAGUGCCUGACACAUAGGGGCUCAGUAAAUGUCAGCCGUGACACUGGUGAUUUUGGGGGAGGCCCAGCACUGUCCGCCCAUGCCUGCCGUCCUGCCCCUGCAGCUCCCUCCUGCCCAGGCGGUCUGCUCUGAAUGGGGCACAUUUGGGGUCAUAGAGCACUGCCCUGACCUCCCGUCAUCUGAGGCAGCUGCAGACUCCAAUAGGCAGAGACCAAGAGCUGAGCCGUGCAGAACUCUGCUUCCCUAGGCACCUCCACCGUGUCCGUCUCUUCCCUCAACACCCCUGCACCUGGCCUGAAGCUGCUCAAGACCUGCAGGGCAGUAGCAAAUCAGAGUGCAGUGUAUGGAAGGAGAAGGUGCUAGACGUGUGACCUGGGCCUGACUCCUCCAGCCCAUCAUCACUGCCUUCAUCCUCCCUCCUGUCCAUGGUGCAUCCAGGGCAUCACCCACCAUGCCUAACUAAUGCCAGCCUUCAGGGGACCACAAGGCUUCUGUCAGCCCCAGGCAGCACUGUCCCAGGGCUGUGACCUUGACCUCUGUGGCUGCCCGGGGCUAGGAUGCAUCCCCCACCAGUCUCUCCCCAGGAGCAGGACAAGGACCAGGGCCCAGGAGAUCACCUGCUGUGGGGCACACGUAGCCUCAGGUACCUGGCGGCAUUGCCACCCUGAUCCAUGCCAGGCAGGCUGCCCUUCCCCUAAUGUUAGGAGAGGUGAGGGCACAGGAGCUCGAUGCUGGCUGUGAAGAAGGGUAGGCAGGGCGGAGGUGAGCUAGCAGAGGGAGCAGAGCAUGAGUUCAGGAUGGAUCCGGGGAGACCAGGUCCAGGUGGGAGCUAGGAUGAUGCCCACAGCUCCUGCCUCCCUGCAGCAUUUGAAAUUGUGAGUAUCCGAGCAUCCAGCAUCAGGGCCGCAGAAGAAUGUCCAGUCACAGGCUCCCUCAGCAGCAGAGUCAGAAUGAUUUCCCAGCAUCACCCAGCUUCACCCUGGGGUAUCCAUUCUUGUCCCUUCAGAAAGGUGAGACAGAGCAGGUGAGCACCAGAAAGUUCUUACCAUCAGUGCCUCAGACGUACAGGCACGCACACACCCAGAAUCCAGAAGGCUUUGCUUUUGGCCCAAGCCUAUUGUCACGGUCCCCUGGGUAAAGGAAGACUGAGCAGCCCCUCCCCAGGGUGAGCCAGACAGCGACUCUGCAGUUCCCUGAGACCUAGUCUCCCCUGAGCUACACAUUAGACCCUCUCCAUUUCCAGGAGUCACCUUCAGCCUGACCCCAAGGCUGGGGGCCAAGAGACUCUGGGGGUCCUGUCAAGACUGAGUUCUUUUGCAGAAAGCCUCGUUUUGUUAUAGCUUGGUUUGUGCCAUGUCCCGGGGGAGACACCUAACCUGCUCCCCCAUGUUGGUGGCAAAACAAAGACCCAGCGAGUAGGAAACCCUGCCCUGGGCCCCACCGUCCAUCCAGACAGACCGACUCCCCAUUUUCUUUUUGUUUUCUUUUCCAUCAGCUUCCGGUGGGGCAGGUGGAGGCCUUUAGGGCCAGGGCUCUGUGGAUUCUGGUGCCUGGAUGGGGGAAGAAGGGAUAGCCUGAAGCACCCACCUACCUACGACUCCAGGGCUCCCUAGGGUGCAGCGGGGGAGAGCAUCAGUGCCCCAACAGCUCUAAACUUGGGCUCCCCUGAGCACCCUUGGGACCCUCACAUGGAGGUCAGAGGCUGCAGUGACCCCUCCCUCCCUCGGGGCUUGCUUCCCUCCUCAUGGGGCAGAGGCUGUGAAUGGGCUCCCAGACGCAGGGCAGACCAUGGCCUGGUCCAGCUCCUGAUGUCCCCGGUCUCUGUGCCCAACAGCCACCCGCCUGCCAUGGAGACUUUCUUUAGGAGACAUUUCCAGUGGAAGGUGCCAGGCCCUGGAGAGGGGCAGCGGCGGCCCAGCGUUGUGGGGCUGCCCACGGGCAAGGCCCGGCGUCGCUCCCCCGCUGGGCAGGCCUCUUCCUCACUGGCACAGCGGCGGCGCUCCAGCGCCCAGCUCCAGGGCUGCCUCCUGAGCUGUGGGGUGAGGGCCCGGGGUUCCAGCCGCCGGCGCUCCAGCACUGUGCCCCCUUCCUGCAACCCCCGCUUCAUCGUGGAUAAGGUGCCCACUCCACAGCCUACCACUGUGGGGGCCCAGCUUCUUGGCGCACCCCUGCUGUUGACCGGGCUUGUGGGCAUGAAUGAGGAGGAGAAGGGUGUCCAGGAGGAUGUGGCAGCUGGGGCGUGGAGCGCCGUCCAGACAGGCACCAAGACACCAGGGCCAUCCCCACCCCAGGGCGCCAGGCUGCUGUCGCCCCUGCCCCGCUACCUGCGCCGAGCCUCCUCCCACCUGCUCCCUGCGGAAGCCGUGUAUGACAACGCUCUCUGGGGCCUACACGGCUACUAUCGGCGCCUCAGCCAGCGGCGGCCCUCAGGCCAGCACCCUGGCCCUGGGGGCCGAAGAGCCUCAGGCACCACCGCCAGCACCGUGCUGCCCACCCGUGUGCGCCCACUGUCCCGCAGGCGCCAGGUAGCCCUACGGCGCAAGGCAGCGGGACCCCAGGCCUGGAGUGCCCUGCUCGCGAAAGCCAUCACUAAGUCGGGCCUCCAGCACCUGGCCCCGCCUCCGCCCACCCCUGGGGCCCCGUGCAGCGAGUCAGAGCGGCAGAUCCGGAGCACAGUGGACUGGAGCGAGUCAGCGACAUAUGGGGAGCACAUCUGGUUCGAGACCAACGUGUCCGGGGACUUCUGCUACGUUGGGGAGCAGUAUUGUGUAGCCAGGAUGCUGCAGAAGUCAGUGUCUCGAAGAAAGUGCGCAGCCUGCAAGAUUGUGGUGCACACGCCCUGCAUCGAGCAGCUGGAGAAGAUAAAUUUCCGCUGUAAGCCGUCCUUCCGUGAAUCAGGCUCGAGGAACGUGCGCGAGCCAACCUUUGUACGGCACCACUGGGUACACAGACGACGCCAGGACGGCAAGUGUCGGCACUGUGGGAAGGGAUUCCAGCAGAAGUUCACCUUCCACAGCAAGGAGAUUGUGGCCAUCAGCUGCUCAUGGUGCAAGCAGGCAUACCACAGCAAGGUCUCCUGCUUCAUGCUGCAGCAGAUUGAGGAGCCGUGCUCCCUGGGGGUCCACGCGGCCGUGGUCAUCCCGCCCACCUGGAUCCUCCGUGCACGGAGGCCCCAGAAUACCCUGAAAGCAAGCAAGAAGAAGAAGAGGGCAUCCUUCAAGAGGAAGUCCAGCAAGAAAGGGCCUGAGGAGGGCCGCUGGAGACCCUUCAUCAUCAGACCCACCCCCUCCCCCCUCAUGAAGCCUCUGCUGGUGUUUGUGAACCCCAAGAGUGGGGGCAACCAGGGUGCAAAGAUCAUCCAGUCCUUCCUCUGGUAUCUCAAUCCCCGACAAGUCUUCGACCUGAGCCAGGGAGGGCCCAGGGAGGCGCUGGAGAUGUACCGCAAAGUGCACAACCUGCGGAUCCUGGCGUGCGGGGGCGACGGCACGGUGGGCUGGAUCCUCUCCACCCUGGACCAGCUACGCCUGAAGCCGCCGCCCCCUGUUGCCAUCCUGCCCCUGGGUACUGGCAACGACUUGGCCCGAACCCUCAACUGGGGUGGGGGCUACACAGAUGAGCCUGUGUCCAAGAUCCUCUCCCAUGUGGAGGAGGGGAAUGUGGUACAGCUGGACCGCUGGGACCUCCACGCUGAGCCCAACCCGGAGGCAGGGCCUGAGGACCGAGAUGAAGGCGCCACCGACCGGUUGCCCCUGGAUGUCUUCAACAACUACUUCAGCCUGGGCUUUGACGCCCAUGUCACCCUGGAGUUCCACGAGUCUCGAGAGGCCAACCCAGAGAAAUUCAACAGCCGCUUUCGGAAUAAGAUGUUCUACGCUGGGACAGCCUUCUCCGACUUCCUGAUGGGCAGCUCCAAGGACCUGGCCAAGCACAUCCGAGUGGUGUGUGAUGGAACAGACCUGACUCCUAAGAUCCAGGACCUGAAACCCCAGUGUGUUGUUUUCCUGAACAUCCCCAGGUACUGUGCAGGCACCAUGCCCUGGGGCCACCCUGGGGAGCACCACGACUUUGAGCCCCAGCGGCAUGACGACGGCUACCUCGAGGUCAUUGGCUUCACCAUGACGUCCUUGGCCGCGCUGCAGGUGGGCGGGCAUGGCGAGCGGCUGACGCAGUGCCGUGAGGUGGUGCUCACCACGUCCAAGGCCAUCCCGGUGCAGGUGGACGGCGAGCCCUGCAAGCUUGCAGCCUCACGCAUCCGCAUCGCCCUGCGCAACCAGGCCACCAUGGUGCAGAAAGCCAAGCGGCGGAGCGCCGCCCCCCUGCACAGCGACCAGCAGCCGGUGCCCGAGCAGCUGCGCAUCCAGGUGAGUCGCGUCAGCAUGCAUGACUACGAGGCCUUGCACUACGACAAGGAGCAGCUCAAGGAGGCCUCCGUGCCGCUGGGCACUGUGGUGGUCCCAGGAGACAGUGACCUAGAGCUCUGCCGCGCCCAUAUCGAGAGACUGCAACAGGAGCCCGAUGGUGCUGGAGCCAAGUCCCCGACAUGCCAGAAACUGUCCCCCAAGUGGUGCUUCCUGGACGCCACCACUGCCAGCCGCUUCUACAGGAUCGACCGAGCCCAGGAGCACCUCAACUAUGUGACUGAGAUCGCACAGGAUGAGAUUUAUAUCCUGGACCCUGAGCUGCUGGGGGCAUCGGCCCGGCCUGACCUCCCGACCCCCACUUCCCCUCUCCCCACCUCACCCUGCUCACCCACACCCCGGUCAUUGCAAGGGGAUGCCGCACCCCCUGAAGGUGAAGAGCUGAUUGAGGCUGCCAAGAGGAACGACUUCUGUAAGGCCUGUGCUGGUGUACCCGGCUGUGGGCCAGCGUGUGAGCUGGGGGAAGGAGGGGUGGCCCCAGGAGGCCCUGCCCUGCCAUGCCUCCUGCCCUCAGCUCCAGGAGCUGCACCGAGCUGGGGGCGACCUCAUGCACCGAGACGAGCGGAGCCGCACGCUCCUGCACCAUGCAGUCAGCACUGGCAGCAAGGAUGUGGUCCGCUACCUGCUGGACCACGCCCCCCCAGAGAUCCUCGAUGCUGUGGAGGAAAAGUGAGUAUCUGGGCAGUGCAGGACCCUGGUCACCCCAGAAACUGCCCUUUUCCCCACCCCUCCCAUUUUGUCAGGUCAGAGCCCGUAAACUUCCUGGCCACAUCUGUCAUCCCCUGGGCCACCCCUGUUGCCCCAAAGCCCCGAACUUUGUGCCUUUUCUGAUGGCCCUUGGGAGACAGAUGGGUGGAUCAGGGGCCGGGAUGGGGUACACAGCCAGCCCCUGCUCCCCCAGCGGGGAGACCUGUUUGCACCAGGCAGCGGCCCUGGGCCAGCGCACCAUCUGCCACUACAUCGUGGAGGCCGGGGCCUCGCUCAUGAAGACAGACCAGCAGGGAGACACUCCCCGGCAGCGGGCUGAGAAGGCUCAGGACACCGAGCUGGCCGCCUACCUGGAGAACCGGCAGCACUACCAGAUGAUCCAGCGGGAGGACCAGGAGACGGCUGUGUAGCGGGCUGCCCACGGGCAGCAGGAGGGACAAUGCGGCCAGGGGACGAGCGCCCUCCUUGCCCACCUCACUGCCACAUUCCAGUGGGACGGCCACGGGGGGACCCAGGCCCCAGGGAAAGAACCCCGUGCCGCGCCCUAAGGAGCCGCCCAAACCUAGGGCUGGAUUCAGGAGCUGGGGGCCUCACCUGUCCCCCUGAGGCCCCCAACGGACCCGGAGGCUCACAGGGGAACAGGACACGGCUGGGUUGGACAUGCCUUUGCGGGGGGAUUCUGGGUCAGGGCGCUCCCUGGCCGCAGCAGAUGCCCUCCGAGGAGUGGAGGGGCUGGAGAGAGAGGGAGGCCUUCGGAAAGAGGCUUCCUGGGCCCCCUGGUCUUCGGCCGGGCCCUCAGCCCCCGCUCUUGCCCCACCCCACCUCCCCCGGGCUUCCUCCCGGACACUCAGCGCCUGCUGCACUUGCCCGCCCUGCCCUGCUUGGCACCCGCUCCGGCGACCCUCCCCGCUCCCCCGUCAUUUCAUCGCGGACUGUGCGGCCUGGGGGUGGGGGGCGGGACUCUCACGGUGACAUGUUUACAGCUGGGUGUGACUCAGUAAAGUGGAUUUUUUUCUUUU